rnacentral:tRNA from 2 species
CGGAGCGUAGCGCAGCCUGGUAGCGCACCUCGUUCGGGACGAGGGGGUCGCAGGUUCAAAUCCUGCCGCUCCGA